UUGUCCCAUAGCUCAAGGGUAGAGCGCCCGGCUGUUAACCGGAAGGUUGCUGGUUCGAUCCCAGCUGGGACAGUC
rnacentral:tRNA from 1 species